GAGGAUUGGAAAGUCUGUAUGUAUGGGGAGAACAACAGAUCUAGUCUAGAAGAUAAUUUGGAUGUCAAGUGAAAGAGAACAGGGCAGGGUCAAGCAAAACAGGAAAGCUAUUAAAAAUAUAGUCAAUUAAAAAGAAUUAAGAACCCUAAUAGCAACCUGACAACUUAGUACUAAAAACAAACAAACAAAAAAUCAGGAGGUUGGAAGUUUAGCUCAAAUACAUAACCUGUGCUUGGAAUGUACAAGGCUUUGAG